rnacentral:rRNA from 1 species
UGGGGAAUAUUGGACAAUGGGCGCAAGCCUGAUCCAGCCAUGCCGCGUGAGUGAUGACGGCCCUAGGGUAGUAAAGCUCUUUUACCUGGGAAGAUAAUGACGGUACCGGGAGAAUAAGCCCCGGCUAACUUCGUGCCAGCAGCCGCGGUAAUACGAAGGGGGCUAGCGUUGUUCGGAUUUACUGGGCGUAAAGGGCGCGUAGGCGGACUGAUAAGUCAGGGGUGAAAUCCCAAGGCUCAACCUUGGAACUGCCUUUGAUACUGUUUGUCUUGAGUUCGAGAGAGGUAAGUGGAACUGCGAGUGUAGAGGUGAAAUUCGUAGAUAUUCGCAAGAACACCAGUGGCGAAGGCGGCUUACUGGCUCGAAACUGACGCUGAGGCGCGAAAGCGUGGGGAGCAAACAGGAUUAGAUACCCUGGUAGUCCACGCCUUAAACGAUGGAUGCUAGCCGUCGGGCAGCUUGCUGCUCUGUGGCGCCGUUAACACAUUAAGCAUCCCGCCUGGGGAGUACGGUCGCAAGAUU